AUUUCACUGCCAUCAUUGCCUCGGGACCAAUUAGAAGCAAAGGAUCGUGAUAUUCUGAAUAAAUUGAAAGGGAUUAGUUUUUUCAAAGUAUUGUUGAGAACCAUGGCCAAGAUCAUUCCCGUCUAUGGGAGGAAGAAAUACUCCAACUGGCCAUAACGACUCAGCAUUCUCCGGUUUUAUUAUUGUCGCAUAUUUUCCGAUUUCGGGGAAAUUUUGUUGUUGUAAAUUUGGAUCAAUAUUUAUACGUUCUCCUAAAAAUGAAAAUAUAAUAAUUACAAUCUA